GGCGCUAUAGCCAAGUGGUUACGGCGACAGAUUCGAAUUGAGUUAGUGUCCACCAACUCGUUGUUAUCUGUUCCUCUUUGAGGGCGCAGGUUCAAAUCCUGCUGGCGUCG